rnacentral:rRNA from 1 species
UUGAACGCUGGCGGCAGGCCUAACACAUGCACGUCGAACGGAUGAAGGGAGCUUGCUCCUGGAUUCAGCGGCGGACGGGUGAGUAAUGCCUAGGAAUCUGCCUGGUAGUGGGGGAUAACGUCCGGAAACGGGCGCUAAUACCGCAUACGUCCUGAGGGAGAAAGUGGGGGAUCUUCGGACCUCACGCUAUCAGAUGAGCCUAGGUCGGAUUAGCUAGUUGGUGGGGUAAAGGCCUACCAAGGCGACGAUCCGUAACUGGUCUGAGAGGAUGAUCAGUCACACUGGAACUGAGACACGGUCCAGACUCCUACGGGAGGCAGCAGUGGGGAAUAUUGGACAAUGGGCGAAAGCCUGAUCCAGCCAUGCCGCGUGUGUGAAGAAGGUCUUCGGAUUGUAAAGCACUUUAAGUUGGGAGGAAGGGCAGUAAGUUAAUACCUUGCUGCUUUGACGUUACCAACAGAAUAAGCACCGGCUAACUUCGUG